GACUUGUCAGACCAGAGCACACUUUUCCACUUUGCGUCAGUCCAUCUCAGGUGAGUUGGGCCCAGAGAAGCUGGCAGCGUUUCUGGGUGUUGUUGAUAUAUGGCUUUUGCUUUGGAUGGUGCAAUUUUAACUUGCACUUGUAGAUGUAAGGACAAACUGUGUUAACUGACAAUGGUUUUCCAAAGUGUACCUGAGCCCACAUGGUUAUAUCCUUUACAUAAUGAUGUCGGUUUUUAAUGCACUGAGUGAUCUGAAGGUCAC